GGAAGUAAAAGUCGUAACAAGGUUUCCGUAGGUGAACCUGCGGAAGGAUCAUUAUUGAAUUAAUGUAGAGUUUGGUUGUAGCUGGCUCCUAAUUAAACUUGGGGGCAUGUGCACACCUUUCUCUUUCAUCCCAUACACACCUGUGCACCUGUGAGACAGAUGUUUUGUGGGGGGGAAGGAACUUUAUUGGACCUUCUACUCCCCCUUGACUUCUGUCUACUUAAUUCAUAUAAACUCAAUUUAUUUUAAAACGGAUGUAAUGGAUGUAACACAUCUAAUACUAAGUUUCAACAACGGAUCUCUUGGCUCUCGCAUCGAUGAAGAACGCAGCGAAAUGCGAUAAGUAAUGUGAAUUGCAGAAUUCAGUGAAUCAUCGAAUCUUUGAACGCACCUUGCGCUCCUUGGUAUUCCUUGGAGCAUGCCUGUUUGAGUAUCAUGAAAUCUUCAAAGUCAAACCUUUUGUUAAUUCAAUUGGUUCUGCUUUGGUAUUGGAGGAUUAUUGCAGCUUCACACCUGCUCCUCUUUGUGCAUUAGCUGGAUCUCAGUGUUAUGCUUGGUUCCACUCAGCGUGAUAAGUUAUCUAUCGCUGAGGACACCCUGUUAAAAAGGGGUGGCCAAGGUAAAUGCAGAUGAACCGCUUCUAAUAGUCCAUUGACUUGGACAAUAUCUAAUUUAUGAUCUGAUCUCAAAUCAGGUAGGACUACCCGCUGAACUUAAGCAUAUCAAUAAGCGGAGGAA
rnacentral:rRNA from 1 species